GGUUCUAUAGUGUAAUGGCUAGCACAUCGGUCUCUGAAUCCGGUAAUCUGAGUUCGAAUCUCGGUAGAACCA
rfam:Vittaforma corneae ATCC 50505 unplaced genomic scaffold supercont1.6, whole genome shotgun sequence.